GACGAACGCUGGCGGCGUGCUUAACACAUGCAAGUCGAACGGAAAGGUCUCUUCGGAGAUACUCGAGUGGCGAACGGGUGAGUAACACGUGGGUAAUCUGCCCUGCACAUCGGGAUAAGCCUGGGAAACUGGGUCUAAUACCGGAUAUGACUACGGGACGCAUGUCCUGUGGUGGAAAGCUUUUGCGGUGUGGGAUGGGCCCGCGGCCUAUCAGCUUGUUGGUGGGGUGAUGGCCUACCAAGGCGACGACGGGUAGCCGGCCUGAGAGGGUGUCCGGCCACACUGGGACUGAGAUACGGCCCAGACUCCUACGGGAGGCAGCAGUGGGGAAUAUUGCACAAUGGGCGCAAGCCUGAUGCAGCGACGCCGCGUGGGGAUGACGGCCUCGG
rnacentral:rRNA from 1 species